rnacentral:lncRNA from 1 species
CAUAGAUCGAGUGGCAUUCGAUAAAGUUAAAGUGAAAUGACACUAGAGAUAGUGUGAGGUAAAGAACCAAUGUAAUGUAAAGAAUGAUGAAAAUGAUAAUGUUUAAAGUUAAAGUAAUGUGGGGAGUAAAGAACAUGAAGUGCUAGAGGUAGCCAAAAGUAAAGAAUGUAAAGAAUAUGAUUGCUAGAGUAGCAAGAGUAAAGAAAUGAAAAGAAUAAGAGAUGCUAGAGAUAGCAAAAGUAAAGAAUUGUAAAGAAUGUGUUUACAUGAGUUUGCAACAAAAAGUGAUGAAAGAACACUAGAGCUAGUGUAAAGUCAAGAUUGAACUUAUAAAUCCUUUGAGUUAAGGAUAUGAUCAUACUUGCUAUGAGUUCCGUGCUCGAGGGCGGUCGCUCCCCCUCGGGCGAUGCGCUCCGGAGUUAUGCAUCACGGGUUGCAGUAAACCCGACGGACGGUCCUAGCGCGUGAGUUCCUGCGAUGAUGGACUUAAUGUGAAGCAAGUCAAUGUGGCGGUACCUGGUUACCUGAGAUAAAGAACAUAAGAGUAAAAUAACAAAGUGCAAAGAAACAAAGAAAAAGUAACAAAAUAAAGUGAAAAGACUAAAGAAUUGCAUAAUCUCAUUAUUAAUGUUGAGGCAUAUUUCUGCUUAUGUUCAGCAUAUUAGCAAUCAUAUAUAGAUUCGGUUACUAUAAAUACAGCUUAUCCUUUCUAUUAUGCCGGAGUUAGUCUAAGUGCGAAAUCAUUGAUGUUUAGCGACCCACUGGAAAAAUUGUUGGUAGUCUCACCCCCACUAUUUCCACAGAGCACGGGACGGGGGAGCAGACCGGCGAGCAGAAUCCAGAAGAUAAAGGUAUGCGCCUUAGCAAGCACCAGAUUGUACAUUUGUAUAGUUACCCUUUAUCAUCUGUUGUACUUCUGAUGUUAUGUGAUGUUAAAAAAAGAUGAAAUGUGUAUUUAGGUAAAGAGAGGAGAGAGAGAAUGAAGACGAAGAUGUAAGGAGCGAGGAGCGAAGAGAGAGAGUGCAGAGUGAGGAGUGGAGGAUAAGAAGGAAGCGACUAGACAGGGAUGAAUGUUACUUUUCUUUUUCGGUGGGUCACUCCGGCUAAUGGCUUACCCUCCGUGUAAGCAGUAUUGUAUGUUUUCCGCUAGUGUCAACUCUGUUGAAAUUGUACAUUGAGACCUUGGCGGACAAGGGAAACCGUCCGUCGCGUCUGUUCGACACGUCAGCGCCGGCCAUAAUGAUCGUCGCCGGGGGUGCGGGGGCUGACAGAUACGGGGUAAUAAGCCCAAAGUGAAAAAAUAGAUGGCCUAUAGACCCUUAGGAAUUGGAAAGUCUUAGAUCUAGGAAACGUGAGUGACGUGGGAUCAAAGUUAGCGAAAGCAUAUGAUUGGGUUAAGUUGGGAUGUCUCUAAUGUGAUUAGAGGCUAAGUUUAAUUUUCGUUUAUCCUCUACUUUUAGUGUUAUGUCGGGCGGCCGACGACAUGACGCUUGAGGCAAGGAUGAAUGUGCAUGUUGCUUUCGCCUAAUUGGGUAUGGUCGAGUAAUGUUGGUCAAGUGACUAAUGCGAGUUGCUUCUUUUCAGGAAGCAACGGCAUCUCGACGUCGAUCGCAGACAAGGUCGAUGCCGGAGGAAACGAAUGCGGUGCCCGAGCAAUCCGGAGAGAGUGGUGACGGAGAGCUUAGAGAGCCGCGCUUAUUGGCAUAGUGCGGCAGCAAGCGGAGUCUGUUCAACGCCAAGGGGAGCAGAUUCAACGGCUCCAGGAGGCCUUGGAGCGUCAACAGUUGGCGGCGGCCCAAGUGGGCGUUGAGCCACCUGUGCCCCUUGCGGAGGUGCCGAGGGCAGUCGAGUGAGCGGCGACAGCAGCGGCUGCGCCAGUCACGCUAGUACCGGCCGGAUCGGGAAUCUCAAACCCCGAUAGCGCGGCGGUAGAAGCGGAGCGAGAGCGCACGUUGGCGGCUCUCAUUCAGUUCAAGAAGUUCGAUCCACCUACCUUUGAAGGCGGAUUGGUGGAGCCAGCAGUCGUGGAGUCGUGGAUCGACUCAAUGGAAACACUCUUCGAGGACUUGAAUACCUCAGAGAAAGACAAGGUGUACCUCGCCACCUAUUGUCUAGGAAAGGCGGCGAUGGUGUGGUGGAAGGGAGUUAAGCGGGAUCGACCUACCGAUCUCCCGCUCAUGCUUUGAGAAGAGUUCAAGAGAGCGGUAUUCGCGAACUACUUCCCCAACACGGUGAAGCGGAAGUUACAAGAAAGGUUCCGCAAGUUGAGACAGGGCGAUCGAUCGGUGGGAGAGUAUGAGCAAGAAUUCUCUCACAUCAUCGACUGUGUUCCCGACGUUGUUCGUGAUGAUCGGGACCGGACGGAUUGGUUCUUACGAGGACUCCAACCCCGGAUUUAUGAGAAGGUGCAAAUUUUGAAGCUGUCGACCUUUGCGGAGGUCUUUGAUAGAGCUUUGUGGGCGGAGCACGGUAGCGCCCACGUACGCGAGGAACGAGAAGCUAUGGUCGAGUCUAAAGACAAGGGCAAGAAAAGAAUGGCGGGCGGUGCCGGGGGCCGACCAAAUGCUAAGAAACCCCCUAGGUAUCCCCGACAGCAGGCGAGGAAUUGGAGACCACCUCGAUAUGUUAUUUGUGGUGGUGAGCACAUGGUGUCGACUUGCUCGCAGCGCGACGGCAAGUGUUUCAAGUGCGGCCAACUGGGACAUCUUAUCCGGGAGUGCCCAACAUGGACGUCGUCUGCGCCGACGGCGGCAUCAGCACCAUCUACCUCGAGACAGCUUGCAGGGUUAGCACUAGCAAUGUCGACUGGGCGCGCGUCAGCACCACGUCAGCCGGAGGGAUCGAGAGCGCCUAGCGGCCGAGUCUUUGCCGCUCAGGUGGAUGAGCAACAACCUGCAGUACCCGACAACGUCGUGGCAGGUAUAAUUAUGAUUAAAGGCACUAGAGCUAGAGCAGUGUUUGAUACAGGCGCAUCUCAUUCGUUUAUUAGCACAUCAUUUGCUAAGACACAUGGCAUAGAGAUGGUGUACAAUGAGGAUUACUGGUGGGUGAACGCCCCAGAACAUUUAUUCAGUGUUCACAACGAGUGUUUCGCGUCUCCAGUGCAAAUAAACGAUUGGAUUAUGCUGAUUGAUCUGCUAGUGCUAGAUCAGAUGUGGGGAUUCGAUGUUAUCUUGGGGACCAACUGGCUCUCCAAGUACUAUGCGGUGAUAGAUUGUGAAAGCAAGGUGAUCACUUUUCGUGAGCCUAAUCAAGAAGAGUUAGUCUACCAAGCGUGCAAAAGUAGGCGUUUUGCGGCGACUAUAUCGUCUGUGAGGGCGAAGAGAAUGAUCAAAGGAGGGUGUAAGGCCUAUUUGGCAACCAUGGUAGAUGCUCGAAAGGAGUACCCAGAGUUGGGGGAUAUUCGAGUAGUGUGCGAGUACCCGGAUGUAUUUCCAGCAGAAUUACCGGGACUGCCACCGGACCGGGAAGUUGAGUUUGUCAUUGACUUGAUUCCCGGGGCGGAACCAGUUUCGAAGGCUCCGUAUAGAAUGGCACCGGUGGAGCUAAAGGAGCUAAAAGGUCAAUUACAAGACUUGCUCGAUAAGGGCUUCGUGAGGCCGAGUGUGUCACCGUGGGGAGCUCCGGUGCUAUUUGUGAAGAAAAAGGAUGGCACACUUCGACUCUGCGUAGAUUAUCGCGAGUUGAACAAAGUAACGAUAAAGAACAAGUACCCGUUGCCAAGGAUUGACGAUCUAUUCGAUCAGUUGCAAGGGUCCAAGGUGUAUUCGAAGAUUGAUCUCCAAUCGGGGUAUCAUCAAUUAAAGAUCAGGCCGAAGGAUGUGCACAAAACGGCGUACCGUACGCGGUAUGGCCAUUAUGAGUUCACGGUAAUGCCGUUUGGGCUUACUAAUGCCCCGGCAGCAUUUAUGGACUUGAUGAAUCGAGUCUUUAGGCCGUUGUUGGAUCGAUGCGUCGUGGUGUUUAUAGACGACGUGUUGGUCUAUUCGAAGAGCGAAGAGGAGCAUGAAGAGCAUCUGAGAGCUGUGUUGCAAAUACUCAGACAAGAGAAGCUCUAUGCAAAGUUAAAGAAAUGUGACUUUUGGCUAAAGGAGGUCACAUUCUUGGGUCAUGUGGUAUCGGGCGACGGAGUUUCGGUAGACCCGAAGAAAGUAGAGGCGAUCAAGGAUUGGCCUCGCCCGACGAAUGUAGCGGAGAUCCGCAGUUUUCUUGGACUGGCGGGCUACUACCGGCGGUUCGUGGAGGGGUUCGCCAAAAUAACCACUCCACUAACGCGCCUCACGCAUAAAGGAGUAAAGUACGUGUGGAGCGACGAUUGCGAUCGAAGCUUCGAGGAGUUAAAGAACAGGUUGACGUCGACCCCGGUGCUUGCCUUGCCGACUCCGGGAGAGACCUUUGUAGUGUACAGUGAUGCCUCGUAUGUUGGUCUCGGGUGUGUAUUAAUGCAGAAUGGGCGGGUUAUUGCUUAUGCAUCGCGCCAGUUAAAGAGUUAUGAGAAGAACUACCCGAUUCACGACCUUGAGUUAGCCGCGGUGAUUUUCGCGCUAAAGAUUUGGAGGCAUUACUUAUAUGGUGAACAUUGUGAAGUGUACACAGAUUAUAAAAGUCUAAAGUACUUGUUCACCCAGAAGGAAUUGAACAUGCGGCAGCGGCGGUGGUUGGAAUUGUUGAAGGACUACGAUGUCACUAUACUUUACCACCCCGGGAAAGCCAAUGUCGUGGCCGAUGCUCUAAGUAGAAAAUCGACGGAGAACUUGGCGAUGGCAGUUACACCUCAACCGCUGUUACAUAAGGAAAUGCAAAGAUUUGGGUUGGAAGUGGUAGCGCCGGGAGUGCCGGCUACGCUUACCGCACUAGUUGUGCAACCGACCCUAUUGGAAAGGAUCAAGAAUUUUCAAGCUUCAGAUCCUUAUUUUCAAAAGGUGCGGAGUGAAGUUGAGAGCGGUAGUGCCGAAGAUUUUGGCAUUGGAGCUGAUGGCGCACUUCGAUUUCGAAAUCGUUUGUGCAUGCCCAAAGAUGACGAGUUGCGAAGGGUGAUCAUGCGAGAAGCGCACCAAUCCCCUUAUAGCAUACACCCCGGUGGCACUAAAAUGUACAAAGAUUUAAGAGAACAUUAUUGGUGGCCGGGUAUGAAAAGAGAUAUUGGGGAGUUCGUGGCGCAAUGUUUAACGUGCCAACAAGUUAAAGCAGAGUGCCGAUUUUCGGCGGGAAAGCUACAAAGUCUACCAAUACCCGUGUGGAAAUGGGAAGACAUAGCAAUGGACUUUGUUACCGGUUUGCCUCGAUCACAAGGCGGACACGAUGCGAUAUGGGUGAUAGUGGAUCGAUUGACAAAGUCGGCACACUUCUUGCCGAUACAUACUACGUGGUCGGGAGACAAGUUAGCUCAAGUCUACCUCGACGAGGUUGUGAGACUUCAUGGGGUUCCAGGCUCGACUUUAGCACAGCGUUUCAUCCCUAGAGCGAUGGACAGUCAGAGCGGACAAUACAAAUCCUCGAGGACUUGCUUCGAGCGUGUGUGCUAGAUUACAAAGGAGGAUGGUAUGAUUUCUUGCCUAUGGCGGAGUUCGCCUACAAUAAUAGCUACCAGGAAAGCAUAGCGAUGGCGCCUUUUGAGGCACUAUAUGGACGUAAAUGUCGUUCUCCUAUCCAUUGGAGCGACGUGGGCGAGAGAACGGCUAUUGGCCCAGAUGUAGUGCGGGAGGCAGAAGAGAAAGUUCGCCUUGCUCGUCAACGGUUGGCGAUGGCGCAAUCUCGGCAAAAGAGUUAUGCCGACAAGCGAAGAAAGGAUUUAGAGUUCGCGGUUGGAGACCGUGUAUUUUUGAGAGUAUCGCCGAUGCGAGGAGUCAAACGAUUUGGAGUCCGUGGGAAGUUAAGCCCCCGAUACGUCGGACCGUUUGAGAUAUUAGAGCGUGUGGGUGCGGUGGCGUACAAGCUCGCAUUACCACCGAGACUCGCGGGAGUUCACAAUAUUUUCCAUGUGUCAAAUCAUCGAAAGUACAUUCGCAAUUCGACACAUGUGUUGGAGUACGAGCCCAUGGAGCUACGUGAGGACAUGUCCUAUGAGGAGUACCCCGUGUGCAUUCUCGAUAGAGAAGUGAGGAAGUUGCGAAGUCGCAAGAUUCCGUACCUUAAGGUCCAAUGGAGCAACCAUGCUGUGCGAGAAGCCACUUGGGAGCUCGAGAAAACCAUGCGGAGAGAGUAUCCGCAUCUAUUUGAAUCGACAAGUUAAGGUAUGCAUAAUUUCGCGUACGAAAUUAUUUUAAAGGGUGGAGAAUGUAAUAUACCGAGAAUUCAAAAAAUAAAUAUCGAACUUUAGUCAAAUUGACCAAAAUGCGAGGAUGGUACACUUCGGAAAGUUCGAAGGUGUUAAAAUGAUCAAAAGUGAGUUACGGGAGGUUCUCGAGAGCUAAAGGAUCAAAAUCUGCAUUCUGCAGUUUUGAGCUCUCGGGGACCGGUCCCUGGUGGGAGAGACCGGUCCCCGAAUGGGUAUGAAUUGAGACAGCCGAGAAAUCGGCCAAGUCCUUGGGAAUCAGCUCUCGGGAACCGGCCCCUCCUCGAGAGACCGGUCCCCCAGAGACCGGUCCCACCAGAGAGAGACCGGUCGCAUCGCGCGCAGCAGCUCUGGCUGCGCAGGGUGGACCUUCGGGAACCGGUCCCUGAAGGAGAGACCGUCCUGCGUGGCGUAGAAGCAGCCCAGUCCAGGCUGUGUGAAAGAGUAAAAGUGAGGGGCUCUGGCUGCAAUUAUUGCAACCCAAUGGCUAUGUUAUGAGGGCUAAUGAAGAUUCUUCUCACUCAUUUCCGUAUCUCACCCUCCUUCAACUCUUCCUCUCUCCCUGGCCUCUCUCUCUCUAGAAGCAAGGAAAGAAAAGAAAAUAAAGAAGAAAAGAAGGUGAGAAAAAAUCAAUAGUGAGCCUGACCUCUUCUUCUCUCUUGGAGAACUUAAGGAACAGCUUUGAAGGUAUAGCUGUUUUUUUUUUUUUCUUUUCUUUUUUUUGAAUCGCCUAGUAUAGUAAAACCCUAGAAUGAGUUUUGAAUGACCUAGAAAUGGGUUUUAAUGGAAUGUUUGAAGAGUUUUGAAGCUUUCUUUUGCUUCUUUAGAGAUCAAAACCUAGAAAAGCUCAAAGGUGAGCUUUAACCCACCUCUCAUGGUGAAAUCCAAACUAGAGUUUGGAGUGAGCUAAGAAUGGUUCUAAUGGAUUUUUUAGAGUAUAAUGAAGCUACUUUUGCUUCCCAAUGUGAUCAAACCCUAGGUUUGAUGAUGCUUUGGAACUAGGGCUCCCAAAUUGGGGCUUUUGCUCAUGAGGGUUUCUAAGUGAAAUUGACCCUCCAAAAAUCUAAUUGGGGACCCAACGAACACGUUGGUGCGCUCGGUUGGAGUAUACGAAAAGACAAUAAAAAGUUAUGUGCAAAAUGGCCUGAUAGGGCUUUAUUUUGCCGCAGGUAAAGAACGAAGGACCUAAAAAUCCCACGUAAAUUAUCGGAGCACCUUUGAAAGCCUACGAGGUGGGUGGUGCUUCUAAAACUUAUUGAACUUCUUUCUAUGCCUAAUGUGUCAUUCAUUUGAGCAUGUGUAUAUAUAUUGUUACAUGCAUUUUAGGGUAAAGUGAUAAUGAAAAUGUGAUGAUGCAUGAUUGUGAAUACAACUUGCAUAAUAUAAUGAAUGAGAACUAUGUGAACGUCGAAAACCCUAUGUGUAUGCAUGAGAGAAAAGUGAGCACCCAAAGUGAGCAAAAGAAUAGAGUGACACAAUGACAUAGAUCGAGUGGCAUUCGGUAAAGUUAAAGUGAAAUGACACUAGAGAUAGUGUGAGGUAAAGAACCAAUGUAAUGUAAAGAAUGAUGAAAAUGAUAAUGUUUAAAGUUAAAGUAAUGUGGGGAGUAAAGAACGUGAAGUGCUAGAGGUAGCCAAAAGUAAAGAAUGUAAAGAAUAUGAUUGCUAGAGUAGCAAGAGUAAAGAAAUGAAAAGAAUAAGAGAUGCUAGAGAUAGCAAAAGUAAAGAAUUGUAAAGAAUGUGUUUACAUGAGUUUGCAACAAAAAGUGAUGAAAGAACACUAGAGCUAGUGUAAAGUCAAGAUUGAACUUA